GUGCUCACUUUGACAGCACAUAUACUAAAAUUGGAACGAUACAGAGAAGAUUAGCAUGGUCCCUGAACAAAGAUGACACACAAAUUCGUGAAGCAUUCCAUAUUUAA